GACGAACCGUGCAAACGUUAUUCGGAAUCACUGGGCUUAAAGGGCGCGUAGGCGGGCCACCAGGUCCGGGGUGAAAGCCUCCAGCUCAACUGGAGAAGUGCCUUGGAUACCGGCGGCCUCGAGGGAGGUAGGGGCGUGCGGAACUUCGGGUGGAGCGGUGAAAUGCGUAGAUAUCCGAAGGAACACCGGUGGCGAAAGCGGCGCGCUGGAUCUCUUCUGACGCUGAGGCGCGAAAGCCAGGGGAGCAAACGGG
rnacentral:rRNA from 1 species